GCCGGGCAUGGUGGUGCAUGCCUGUAAUCCCAGCUACUCGGGAGGCUGAGGCAAGAGAAUCGCUCGAACCCAGGAGGCUGGAACCCAGGAGGUUGCAGUGAGCCAAGAUUGUACCACAGCACUCCAGCCUGGGCAACAGAGCGAGACUCUGUCUCAA
ensembl:misc_RNA Metazoa_SRP Metazoan signal recognition particle RNA